UACGUAGGGGGCUAGCGUUGUCCGGAUUUACUGGGCGUAAAGAGCGCGCAGGCGGCCGAGUAAGUCGAAUGUGAAAGCCCCCGGCUCAACUGGGGAAGGUCAUUCGAUACUGUUCGGCUCGAAGAUAGGAGAGGGAAGCGGAAUUUCAGGUGUAGUGGUGAAAUGCGUAGAUAUCUGAAGGAACACCAGUGGCGAAGGCGGCUUUCUGGCCUAUUCUUGACGCUGAGGCGCGAAAGCUAGGGGAGCGAACGGG
rnacentral:rRNA from 1 species